UACGUAGGUGGCAAGCGUUGUCCGGAAUUAUUGGGCGUAAAGCGCGCGCAGGCGGUCCUUUAAGUCUGAUGUGAAAGCCCACGGCUCAACCGUGGAGGGUCAUUGGAAACUGGGGGACUUGAGUACAGAAGAGGAAAGCGGAAUUCCACGUGUAGCGGUGAAAUGCGUAGAGAUGUGGAGGAACACCAGUGGCGAAGGCGACUUUCUGGUCUGUAACUGACGCUGAGGCGCGAAAGCGUGGGGAGCAAACAGG
rnacentral:rRNA from 1 species